ensembl:piRNA 21ur-2492 ncRNA
UAGAUCAUUAGAGUACGAAAC